rnacentral:rRNA from 1 species
CAACAAUAGGAGCGCGUAUGGGACGGAACUCGCUCUUGGUUGCUGCCUGUUUGACCUAGAUGGCCGGUUUACAGACGGAGUGAUUGUUUUCCAGGCCGACCAAGUAAAUCCUUUGUUUGAGGCCGGCCAACAGGGAGAGAGACCCGCCCUUCUCUGGCGCGUUCACUUUUUUUUUUUGAUUUUCUUUCAAUGAGGCUGGUUGUUUGUGCAUGCGACCUUGAUUGGGAGGUCUCUCCCACCUCUGGCUAUUUAUUGGAAACAAACCGCGAACGAGUACCUUGAGGGAGAGAUAGAUAAAAAUAUGAUUAAAAAGAUAAAUAAAAUGUUUGAGUGUUUGUUAGAAAGCGACCGUUGGCAGACUGACUGGUCUGUCUGCAAUCUAUCUUUCCGUCUGGCUGCACGCGCUUGCAAGGUCUGUCUUCCACCAUUUAUUUUACUUGAGGAAACUAACUAAAAUGGAUGUGGCCUGCGUGUGUGAGUGUCCCUCCCAAAAAACCUAGCUUGGGAUGGAGGGAGGAAACGAACGCAUGUUUUUUGGCUAUCUUUCCAGGUUUUCUUACUGACAUCCAAAUCUAUCAUGAUCGAUCUGUUUAUACAUCUAUUUACUCACGUAGGUGGUUGGCUGACUGACACUGAGUCACCCUACUACACACAACGAAACAAAAGUACCAA